UACGGGGGGGGGCAAGCGUUGUUCGGAAUUACUGGGCGUAAAGGGUUCGUAGGUGGCCACUUAAGUCAGACGUGAAAUCCCUCAGCUUAACUGGGGAACUGCGUCUGAUACUGGGUGGCUUGAGUGCAGGAGAGGAAUGCGGAAUUCCAGGUGUAGCGGUGGAAUGCGCAGAUAUCAGGAGGAACACCGGUGGCGAAGGCGGGAUCCUGGGCCAGUACUGACGCUGAGGAGCGAAAGCGUGGGGAGCAAACAGG
rnacentral:rRNA from 1 species